UGGCUCAGGACGAACGCUGGCGGCGUGCCUAACACAUGCAGGUCGAACGGGGAUUUGUUUCGGCAGAAUCCUAGUGGCGAACGGGUGAGUAACGCGUAGGCAACCUGCCCCCCGGAUUGGGACAACACCCCGAAAGGGGUGCUAAUACCGGAUACGAAGAUAGCACCGCAUGGUGAUAUUUUGAAAGAUGGCCUCUAUUUAUAAGCUAUCGCCGGGGGAUGGGCCUGCGUCCGAUUAGCUGGUUGGUGGGGUAACGGCCUACCAAGGCGACGAUCGGUAGCCGGUCUGAGAGGAUGAACGGCCACAUUGGGACUGAGACACGGCCCAGACUCCUACGGGAGGCAGCAGUGGGGAAUCUUCCGCAAUGGGCGAAAGCCUGACGGAGCAACGCCGCGUGGGUGAGGAAAGUUCUUCGGAACGUAAAGCCCUGUUGUACAUGACGAACGUGUAUCCUAUCAACAACGGGAUGCAAUGACGGUAGUGUACGAGGAAGCCACGGCUAACUACGUGCCAGCAGCAGC
rnacentral:rRNA from 1 species